UGCAGCUACAUGACUGUGUGAAGAUAGCCA
rnacentral:piRNA from 1 species